GAUGAACGCUGGCGGCGUGCCUAAUACAUGCAAGUCGAGCGAACAGACGAGGAUUUUGCUCCUCUGACGUUAGCCGCGGACGGGUGAGUAACACGUGGAUCACCUACCUAUAAGACUGGGAUAACUUCGGGAAACCGGAUCUAAUACCGGAUGAUAUAUUGAUCCGCAGGGUUCAAUAGUGAAAGUCGGUUUUUCUGUCACUUAUAGAUGGAUCCGAGCUGCAUUAGCUAGUUGUUAAGGUAACGGCUUACCAAGGCGAACAUGCGUAGCCGAACUGAGAGGGUGAUCGGCCACACUGGAACUGAGACACGGUCCAGAGUCCUACGGGAGGCAGCAGUCGCGAAUGUUAAGCAAUGGGCGGAAGCCUGACGGAGCAACGCCGCGUGAGUGAUGAAGGUCUUCGGAUCGUAAAACUCUGUUAUUAGGGACGAACAGAUGUGUAAGUAAAUAUGCAGGUAUUGACGGUACCUAAUCAGAAAGCCACGGCUAACUACGUG
rnacentral:rRNA from 1 species